rnacentral:rRNA from 1 species
CACGUAGGGCGCGAGCGUUGUCCGGAAUUAUUGGGCGUAAAGAGCUCGUAGGCGGCCUGUUGCGUCCGCUGUGAAAGCCCGGGGCUUAACCCCGGGUCGGCAGUGGAUACGGGCAGGCUAGAGGUAGGUAGGGGAGAAUGGAAUUCCCGGUGUAGCGGUGAAAUGCGUAGAGAUCGGGAGGAACACCAGAGGCGAAGGCGGCGACCUGGACAAGUACUGACACUCAACUCCGAAAGCGUGGGGAGCAAACAGG